AGGGGAAAACAGGUGAAGCGGGGCCGCAGGGGCCUCCGGGGCCUCCAGGACCUGAGGGCUUUCCAGGAGACAUCGGGGCUCCAGGACACAACGGACCCCCGGGCCCAAAGGGUAUUCAAGGAGCUCGGGGCCCUCAGGGACCACCAGGACCAAAGGGAACAGAGGUGAAG